rnacentral:rRNA from 1 species
CAGUAGCCGCGGUAAUACGUAGGGGGCAAGCGUUAUCCGGAAUUACUGGGUGUAAAGGGAGCGUAGACGGUUAAACAAGUCUGAAGUGAAAUGCCGGGGCUCAACCCCGGAGCUGCUUUGGGAACUGUAGAACUGGAGUGUCGGAGGGGUAAGCGGAAUUCCCAGUGUAGCGGUGAAAUGCGUAGAUAUAUGGAGGAACACCGGUGGCGAAAGCGGCUCUCUGGUCUGUAACUGACGCUGAGGCUCGAAAGCGUGGGGAGCAAACAGGAUUAGAUACCCCCGUAGUCCCUGUCUCUUAUAC